rnacentral:rRNA from 1 species
GACAGAGGGUGCAAGCGUUGUUCGGAAUUAUUGGGCGUAAAGGGCGCGUAGGCGGCCUCAUAAGUCGAAUGUGAAAGCCCAGGGCUCAACCUUGGAAGUGCAUCCGAAACUAUGAGGCUUGAAUCCCGGAGAGGGUGGUGGAAUUCCCAGUGUAGAGGUGAAAUUCGUAGAUAUUGGGAGGAACACCGGUGGCGAAGGCGACCGCCUGGACGGAGAUUGACGCUGAGGCGCGAGAGCGUGGGGAGCAAACAGG